rnacentral:lncRNA from 1 species
AGCUCGAGGAGAAUGGCGAAGGUGGAGAGAGAUUGGAGAAGGGCCAAAGGGCAGAGCUGUGCUACUUUCUCGAUUUGGCCCCUGUGUAUAUCGCAGUUUUUCUUUGAACAGAAAGAAUGAGGCCCGGUUCUUUUGUUGGAUUCUCACAAAAAUCUUGAGAAUCGACGUCCUUUUACAUUCUAUCAGAAUUGGGUCUGAA